UGGAACGCAUACACCUCAAGCUAGC
rnacentral:piRNA from 1 species